UAAAAAAUGCUUUCAAGGCUGAAGGUGUGAUGGGAGGGUUUAAAAAAAUAAUAACAUCCGGGAGUCUCUGGAUACCUGCAGGGAGUCCAGCAAUCGAGUGGGUGGAGGAGGCUCUCGGCUUAACAAGGGGAAACUGGAGGCCCCUAACAGACACAGCAGUGCAGGAUGCUUUUUCUCAAGAUGUGUCAUCGCAGCCACAGAAAGAAGAAUGUCGCCGAAAGGUGGGAGAAGAGAAUCAACUCCACAAAGCUGUCUUCUGACCUCCACGUGGCCCUGUGGCACAUGCGCUCCCACAGAGACACGCAAUAUACAUAAUAUUGAAAACAAUUAAACAACUGCUAAAAUUUUUU
rnacentral:lncRNA from 1 species